rnacentral:rRNA from 1 species
GCCAUGCCGCGUGCAGGAUGACGGUCCUAUGGAUUGUAAACUGCUUUUAUACGAGAAGAAACACCUCUACGAGUAGAGACUUGACGGUAUCGUAAGAAUAAGGAUCGGCUAACUCCGUGCCAGCAGCCGCGGUAAUACGGAGGAUCCAAGCGUUAUCCGGAAUCAUUGGGUUUAAAGGGUCCGUAGGCGGUUUAGUAAGUCAGUGGUGAAAGCCCAUCGCUCAACGGUGGAACGGCCAUUGAUACUGCUAGACUUGAAUUAUUAGGAAGUAACUAGAAUAUGUAGUGUAGCGGUGAAAUGCUUAGAGAUUACAUGGAAUACCAAUUGCGAAGGCAGGUUACUACUAAUAUAUUGACGCUGAUGGACGAAAGCGUGGGUAGCGAACAGGAUUAGAUACCCUGGUAGUCCACGCCGUAAACGAUGGAUACUAGCUGUUGGGAGCAAUCUCAGUGGCUAAGCGAAAGUGAUAAG